GAAUAUCAGAAAUUGAUUUCAAAACAUAUAAUUUACCUAGCUUCAAUAGCAUUUUCUUAGGUAUUGUGAGUAGACAUUAAUAUACUACUAAUACAAUUUGAGUUUUUUUUCGCAUUUUUUUUUUUGGUGAGAUCAUCAACGCAUAUAUUAAAGUCACACAAUUUUGGUAAUCAAAGACAAAAAAAAAAAAAAAAGUAAGAACAUACCGACAUAGGCAUCCGCUUUGGUGGGCUUCUAAUAGGAGUAUUUUAGCUUUCAACGUACUGGGCUUUCAAUUUAAAGCCGAUAACAAUAAAACAUAGCCCAAGGCGUUGACAUUGAAG
rnacentral:lncRNA from 1 species